AGUCCAUCAAGGCGAGUUCCUCCGUACAGUACUCCAGGGCUUAUAUAGGCAAUCCAAACCCAGCCAAAGCAAACCUCCCCAAACCCAACACUUCCAGCAUGUCCAAAAUGGGAGACAAGCGCCUAUGUAACCCGGGCCAAGGUAUAGUGCCAUCACGCUUUAACUUUUAUUGGGUGGGGCUUGUUAAAUUGCUGUGAAGAUAGCUUUCUCUGCGAGCGCAGGUUCCGCGGGGCCGCCUCUGCGCGCCAGCUUUCGGAGGGCAGUGCGCGUUCUGGCCACCCCCAGCAUACUGAUCCUGGGGCUAAUUUAUCCUACUCGGCAGCCACCGGGGAGAGGGACCCAGGUCUACACCCUCUUAGGUGCACACGAAUGUAAAAGAAUAUUUAUUUAGGGUGCAGGAACAACAACAAAAAAAAUCCACAUGUAUUUGAAAUUGGUAGAGAAAAGAAACAGAAACGACGUUUCUCCUGUCUACAGAUUCGGUCUGAGGAAGUGGGGGGGGGGUUUGAGAAGGACGCCAGGAAAUCGACGCUGGUGAUUUUAACACGCGAGGAAGGGGGAGCAUGCAAAUGUCCAGGGACAGUCCCUGCUUCUGGCUGAGUGUUAGUGGUUUUGUUUUUGUUUUUUAAAGAUUCCCCCCAGAACUUGAGGUUUAGAUUCCCCCCCGCAACCAAAGCCCCCAAAGCAUUUUCCAUUAUGGACUGGGGACACUGAGUCUGUCGCGUCUCCACAGUCUCAACUAAAUCCCUAAGAACUGCAUGAAAGGAAGCCUGGGUUUAUUCGAAUAGCACUGUCGAAAUUCUUAGUAUUUGUAAAUCGCCACAAGUUCUUUUGACACGGUGUCCUGGUGAGUGGACGGGUCACCUGAGGAGGUUGUAAUUCUUUUGCAGAAAAAUUUCGGAAACAUUAACACGGGGUCUGACGGAGUUUACAUGGUCCGAGGUCUUUCGUCUCAGCCGGGAAGCCGGAGUUUUGGGGAGGAGGAUUGUGGAUAUCCCAGUAGUCUGGGGACUAAUCCUUUAUCACGGGGUUACUGGUGCAGACCCCAAAGACAUUCAGGUUUUUGGGAGAGCAGGAUUCAGUGCUUUAAUCACUAUUUGCCAAAACUGCUCGUUUAUAAGCAAAUGAUAUUUGAAGCACCCUCAUUGCCAGAUAGAGAUUCUCUUAGGUUGGUUUAAGCAUGGCCGAUUAAUGAAGCCACUGUCAGCCUUCAGGGGAAAGUGGCAUCCUAUCAGGCCAAGCCGUGAGUGCCUCCAAGAUGGGCUUCAAUGGCCCCCCGGAAGGCGGGAGCGGCCGGGGAGUGAAGGCUCCCCGAGGCCCCGCAGCAGGUGAGUAGCCAGCCUCUAAUGAGGCCAGAGGGGGCGCCCCAAGGAGCCCACCCUCGCCUGGAGCAGCGAGGGACGUCGGAAGUACCCUGAGGGUUCUGGAUCCUCAAAACCAUGGCUUUGAUUUUUCGCGUCCCAAAUAUUCUGGGGAGCCACCUUUGAAGCCUACCCUGCAGGAUCCAGUCCCCGCCUCUCCCUCCAGACCGAGGCGCCGACCUCCGGUCUCAAAUUCGUUCCUCUUCCCCUUGGCCUCUGGUCGGGGCGCUGCCGAGCCAACUUCCAGGCCGGAGCCGCCAUCAGAACCGGAUCCAGCUCCAGCACCCGCACAGGUGUCAGCUUGAGCAGGGAUUAUGUAAUGGAUUUGGCAGCCCAGACUCUAACCAAACGGAAUUAAAGAGGGUGGGGUUUUCUCUUUUCCUUUUUCUGUUGACUACAACUGGUAUCAGGUGUACUUGAUCCGCGGCAGCAGGUGUUUUUUGCAGGAAAAGACCAACAUGAACGGCAGCCCAGGUCAAGGCGCUCUCGGAGGGCACCCCCCCCCCAGGUAGGCCUGGGGGCCCUAGGAUGAGCCUCCAGUGUUAAGGUCCCAAGCUGCUCACCUGAGGUCGCCCGCCGCCACAGCCUCAGGUGACCUGAAGUCCAGGCGCAAGGGGCGUGGAGAUGAUUGCCCCAACUCGAUCUCUGUUUUCUGGCCAAAGACCAUCUGGUGGAAACUGUGGGGUUCUACCCUACGACUCUUUGACUUUUAUUAGCCACCAAUUCCUUGCAAGUACGGCUGGGUGUGAAUUAGGAAGCAAAAUUAGAAGAUUCUAGUUAAAAUACCUUCACAGACUGACAAGGAGCUCCACCUUCAUCUGGGUAACUUUGCCUGAGAAUCGCUUAGGCUGGCACAGAUCUCUAAAAAUCAUCCAAAAAGAGCCAGUUUGGGACCCUUUCUAAGAUUCGAGACCAUGGGACUUUUGCUCAAUUAGAAUUAUGUAAACAUUUAACCAAUUUUGGUGAGCUGUAGAGGGGAUUUCAUGUACUGCCAGUCUCCAUUUUUAUUAUACAGAAAUGAAAGAAAAUUUAGGAAUGGUGGCAUCUCCCUCCCCACACCUUUUGUUUCCUUUUGGACACCAAAUAUUUGCUUUCAUGGAAUCUAAUGCUAAGGGCUGGUUUGAACCCCUUAGAGACCUAAGGAAGGGUUUGAGACAUAAAGAAACAAAUUCUCAGUCUUGGGGAGUGGGCUUAAUUUUGGAUAAAAUAAGGAAUAAUGUUUAAGUGACCAACUCUAAUGCUGAAUUUGAAUCUGUGUGAUUAGUCCCAACAGGACUAAUUCAUAGCAUUAAAAGUCAUAAGGUUAAAAACCAAGGCUUGGAGAGUUAUGACAGUAACUGUGAAGCCCUGUGGCCAGAGGCUGAGUGUCCAAGUGGUUAUUUACAGAUUUGGGCAUGUAUCCCAAAUCCUUAAUUCUUUACUGAUGAGUUCAACUGGAAACUCACUUUCAUAAAGAAUUGAGUUGUAGCUGUAGAUAUGAAAACAUGUCUCUUUGAAGUAGCUCCCAUUUAUUGAUAAAGCUGCCAGGUAAGGUUGGCAGACUCUUUUUGCUGAUAUUUACAUGGCCCCCCAAGUGUCCCUGUAUUGCUGUGUUAAUUGUAACAUGACCCCAGCAAUGACUACCUAUAAGGGAGAUUUUAGAAAAUCUUGUAAAAUAUUAGAAACAAGUAUUUUCUGCAGGGGAAUUUUUAAAACAAAGCUCAAACUAGCCCUAUUAAAUACAUCAUGUUCAAAACUAGUAGUGAAUUCCUGCUUUCCUUGGUGCUGUGGAAGCCAUUGAUUGUUAUCACAGGACCUCUCGGAAAAAGAAUCAGGAAGCGGCACCCCUACACACCCCCACCCCUUUUUUUUAAUGCACAAGAGUUUCUUCUUGAAUCCCAUUUGCUGGAUCUCAUCUGCCAGCUGAAGAUCCCCUCGUGAUCUGGGUAGGAACCAGCCCUGACAUGCAGCCUUGGGCUCCUGGGUGGAACUUGGAGAUAAAACUAUGUUUUCUUGUCAAAGGACAAAAUGAUUUUGUUCAGAAUCGGGUUGUGUUUUCAAGUUACCUUUCCAUCUAAUCAUGUGGUGCUUAAAAAACUGAUAAACUCCUGGGGGGGAGGGGGUGUCACCAAUGAACUAAUUUCAGAUUGGGUUUUUUCCUUGAGUCCUCGUAAAGGGUUCCAAACCUUCAAAGGGGGCAGGCCAGACAUCACUGGGGCUGCUUGGUGUCUAAGUCAAGCCUGGGGGUUAGGGGGAGCAUUUUGCUAACAAGAAAGAUGAAUUCUCCAAGGUUGUAGAUGAUU
rnacentral:lncRNA from 1 species